UGUGUGUGUGUGUGUGUGUUGUGUGUGUGUGUGUUGUGUGUGUGUGUGUGUGUGUUGUGUACACAAACACACACACACACACACACACACACAUAUAUAUAUAUAUAUGUGUGUGUGUGUGUGGUGUGUGUGUGUGUUGUGUACACAAACACACACACACACACACACACACACACACACACAU